ensembl:lncRNA
GACUGCCAGGUGAGCCUGAACUUUGCAGCUGAGGCAGAGAGGUUCUGUGCAGCCUUGGAGAGACAGAUCCAACAAGCCCCAGAUUUGGAAAGCAACACACACACACACACACACGUCACAUCACAUUUACAAUAUAAUUAGUUCUCUCAGCUUCAGGCAGACGGUAGUCCCAGGUGGGAGUGGGCCCAGAGCAAGGCCUCAGUUCUAGUGAGCUGGACCCUGCUCUGAGGAAUCUGCUCAGGAAGGCGGGGCUAAACAAGGAGGAUAUGAAGGACAGACACACCCUCCUCCUAGAGGGGCACACCCUGAGAUGAUCAGAAAGAGCUUUCAGUGAGAGAAUAUGACUGUGGCAUGUCAAUGACAGUUGUAGACAAUUUCCAAUACAUGGUGAAUUUGAUGUGUGGUUAGUACAAUGGUGUCUGUGUGCACG